GACGAACGCUGGCGGCGUGCCUAACACAUGCAAGUCAAGGCGGUAGCAAUACCGACUGGCGCACGGGUGCGGAACACGUAGGUAAUCUGCCCUUUAGGGGAGAACAACUCAUCGAAAGGUGAGCUAAAUCUCCGUAAUGUUUUACUAUGGCAUCAUAGUUCAACCAAGUUUUCUAAGGGAUGAGCCUGCGUCUGAUUAGCUAGUUGGUGAGGUAACGGCUCACCAAGGCUACGAUCAGUAGCUGGUCUGAGAGGAUGAUCAGCCACAUUGGGACUGAGACACGGCCCAGACUCCUACGGGAGGCAGCAGUGAGGAAUAUUGCUCAAUGGACGAAAGUCUGAAGCAGCAACGCCGCGUGGAGGAUGAAGACC
rnacentral:rRNA from 1 species